GACGAACGCUGGCGGCGUGCUUAACACAUGCAAGUCGAACGGAAAGGCCCUGCUUUUGUGGGGUGCUCGAGUGGCGAACGGGUGAGUAACCCGUGAGUAACCUGCCCUUGCCUUUGGGAUAACUUCAGGAAACUGGGGCUAAUACCGGAUAGGAGCUCCUGCUGCAUGGUGGGGGUUGGAAAGUUUCGGCGGUUGGGGAUGGACUCGCGGCUUAUCAGCUUGUUGGUGGGGUAGUGGCUUACCAAGGCUUUGACGGGUAGCCGGCCUGAGAGGGUGACCGGCCACAUUGGGACUGAGAUACGGCCCAGACUCCUACGGGAGGCAGCAGUGGGGAAUAUUGCACAAUGGGCGGAAGCCUGAUGCAGCAACGCCGCGUGCGGGAUGACGGCCUUCGGGUUGUAAACCGCUUUCGCCUGUGACGAAGCGUGAGUGACGGUAAUGGGUAAAGAAGCACCGGCUAACUACGUG
rnacentral:rRNA from 1 species